AUUGAACGCUGGCGGCAUGCCUUACACAUGCAAGUCGAACGGUAACGGGCCUUCGGGUGCCGACGAGUGGCGAACGGGUGAGUAAUGUAUCGGAACGUACCUUUCAGUGGGGGAUAACGUAGCGAAAGUUACGCUAAUACCGCAUAUUCUGUGAGCAGGAAAGCAGGGGAUCGCAAGACCUUGCGCUGAUUGAGCGGCCGAUAUCAGAUUAGCUAGUUGGUGAGGUAAAGGCUCACCAAGGCGACGAUCUGUAGCGGGUCUGAGAGGAUGAUCCGCCACACUGGAACUGAGACACGGUCCAGACUCCUACGGGAGGCAGCAGUGGGGAAUUUUGGACAAUGGGGGCAACCCUGAUCCAGCCAUGCCGCGUGAGUGAAGAAGGCCUUCGGGUUGUAAAGCUCUUUCGGCCGGGAAGAAAUCGUGUGGGUUAAUACCCUGUGCGGAUGACGGUACCGACAUAAGAAGCACCGGCUAACUACGUGCCAGCAGCCGCCGUAAAAC
rnacentral:rRNA from 1 species